rnacentral:rRNA from 1 species
AUCCUGGCUCAGGAUGAACGCUGGCGGCGUGCCUAAUACAUGCAAGUCGAGCGAAUGGAUUGAGAGCUUGCUCUCAAGAAGUUAGCGGCGGACGGGUGAGUAACACGUGGGUAACCUGCCCAUAAGACUGGGAUAACUCCGGGAAACCGGGGCUAAUACCGGAUAACAUUUUGAACUGCAUGGUUCGAAAUUGAAAGGCGGCUUCGGCUGUCACUUAUGGAUGGACCCGCGUCGCAUUAGCUAGUUGGUGAGGUAACGGCUCACCAAGGCAACGAUGCGUAGCCGACCUGAGAGGGUGAUCGGCCACACUGGGACUGAGACACGGCCCAGACUCCUACGGGAGGCAGCAGUAGGGAAUCUUCCGCAAUGGACGAAAGUCUGACGGAGCAACGCCGCGUGAGUGAUGAAGGCUUUCGGGUCGUAAAACUCUGUUGUUAGGGAAGAACAAGUGCUAGUUGAAUAAGCUGGCACCUUGACGGUACCUAACCAGAA